rnacentral:lncRNA from 1 species
CCAAAUUCACCAUUUUAUCAAAUUCUCGAUUCCGCCCCAAUUUUCAUUUUAAUACUAAAUUUUCACAAUUCACCAUUUCUAUUUCAACGAUCCACAAUCACUUUUCAAUGAAAUUAAACAACGAGUCAAUAUCAAAAUAACAACCUAUCACCAAUCAAGACAACAUGCAUUCAUCACCAACAAGUAUCAAACAACAUCCGAAGCUUAAUCCAAACACCAAAGAAUAGUAAACAAUAAAAUAGAAGAGGAAAAGAGUAGAAUUGGACCUUUCGAUAGUCGAUUUCGUUGAUAAUAACAUUUAAGAAGGCCCGGACUUCAAAACUUGGAACAGAACCUCAAUAGAGACAUACUCUGACUCGAUAUAGAAAUUUGAAACCCCAAAGCUAACCUCGACAGACUGAUCGCACGAAAGGAAAAAAAAUAGAAACCCAAACUAAAAUCGAACUUAAACUUCAAAACUAGCACCGAACUCGAUGAACCAAAAUGGAAAUCGCAAUAAGAGAGUUAACGAAUUCAAAAAUCCGGUGGACCCAUCGGAACAGUAACAGGAACAAUGACUGGGUGUUUUCCGGUGGGUUUUGAACUGAAAAACGAGGACCCUUUGCUACGCCUGAGCUCCGGUAAGUUUGGAGCAACUGGAAACGGAGAUGCGAUCUGUAGCGACAACGUUUCCGGUGAAAACUCAGUCCAAAUUUCUUCUCUGCUUUUAAACUCUCAACCUCAGAUCUUACUCUCUCUGGUCCGAUCAGCGCAGG